AUUUUUGACCAUUGCUAUCACCGUUUCCUUCUCUACAGGUUCACCGGAGUAAAAUGUCCAACCGUAACAUGAGCCGGAGGAGCCGUUGCAUUAGAGAGCCCCGCCGCCGGUGAGUUUCAGUUUUCUACGUUUUUUCUGUCAACCGAGGGCCCUAAGUGUGUUUUCUCACAUGAAAUGUUGCAAAUUUGGCUGAAUUCGGCUGAAAACGGCUGAAAACAGCAAACCCAAGGUGGAUCGCCACCC
rnacentral:lncRNA from 1 species